rnacentral:misc_RNA from 1 species
UGAGGGCCCUCUGGGUCCAACCUCCCACCCGUGUCUAUCGUACCUUGUUGCUUCGGCGGGCCCGCCGUUUCGACGGCCGCCGGGGAGGCCUUGCGCCCCCGGGCCCGCGCCCGCCGAAGACCCCAACAUGAACGCUGUUCUGAAAGUAUGCAGUCUGAGUUGAUUAUCGUAAUCAGUUAAAACUUUCAACAACGGAUCUCUUGGUUCCGGCAUCGAUGAAGAACNNNNAGCNGAAAAUUGCGAUAAGUAAUGUGAAUUGCAGAAUUCAGUGAAUCAUCGAGUCUUUGAACGCACAUUGCGCCCCCUGGUAUUCCGGGGGGCAUGCCUGUCCGAGCGUCAUUGCUGCCCUCAAGCACGGCUUGUGUGUUGGGCCCCCGUCCCCCUCUCCCGGGGGACGGGCCCGAAAGGCAGCGGCGGCACCGCGUCCGGUCCUCGAGCGUAUGGGGCUUUGUCACCUGCUCUGUAGGCCCGGCCGGCGCCAGCCGACACCCAACUUUAU